ACAUCGUCUAGAUACCUGUAUUGGAUUCUUCCUGAAAUUUAGUGAUAGACUCUACCCUGUAGCAUCCGAAAGUGCACACUUGGCAGGUUUGAGAAGUCAUCUUGAGUUGGGGCAGUGUUUGUGGACACACCCCAGGAGGCACCCAAGGGAAGUAUGAGGGCGACUCCAGGUGGUGUCACACAGCCUUUCUUCCCUGGGCAACACCCGCGGAGCUUUGAGAAUGUUCCUGGGAACAUAGAUCCCCGGAGGCAAGGUUAGCGCUUCUAACUGCCCACUAGAGGGCUCAGGGGGAUCGUUAAUGCACGCUGCCCUCUGGGGGUCGCGGAAGGAAACAGCUCCAGGGCUGUGAGGAAAUCUACUUGCGGACACCAACCAGCAUCCGGCGGCGCCGAGGCUGAAAUACUGGAACAUAGAGAGAUGGGCCUCAGUUAUUUGAAGCUAGUAAUGGAUUUCCACUGGUCCACAUGUUUUACUCUUCUGGAGUCCCAGAUAGCCAGGAGCAUGUAUUUUCAGAAUAUCAACAUGGGAGCUCUCCUGCACAAGAAAGGACUGACUGAGGUGGUGCCAGGAAUUUUUUACUACAAAAUGUUAUGAUGCUUGUGUGGCUUACACAUCCAGACAACAUCUGGCACACCCAGUUAAGACGACUACAAUUAGUGAAGGGCCUGCUAAAGCUAUGACACAUUGAACAGUUAAAUCAUGAUUUCUUUUAAUGAUGAUGAGCUCAGUUUGGAGUUAAGAAAAUAUACUUUCAGGCUUUCAUUCCUUAUAUUCCCUGAGAAAUGAAAAAGAAAAUCUAUUUUUCCCCAUACUGUA